rnacentral:rRNA from 1 species
UUGGUACAAAGAGAAGCGAAGCGGUGACGUGGAGCAAACCUCAGAAAGCCAAUCUCAGUUCGGAUUGUAGGCUGCAACUCGCCUACAUGAAGUUGGAAUCGCUAGUAAUCGCGAAUCAGAAUGUCGCGGUGAAUACGUUCCCGGGUCUUGUACACACCGCCCGUCACACCACGAGAGUUUACAACACCCGAAGUCAGUGGCCUAACCGCAAGGAGGGAGCUGCCUAAGGUGGGGUAGAUGAUUGGGGUGAAGUCGUAACAAGGUACC